UACGUAGGUGGCAAGCGUUGUCCGGAAUCACUGGGCGUAAAGCGCGCGCAGGCGGCGAUCUACGUCUGGGGUGAAAGCCCGGAGCUCAACUCCGGGACUGCCUUGGAUACGGGAUCGCUUGAGGAUUGGAGAGGCAAGGGGAAUUCCUGGUGUAGCGGUGGAAUGCGCAGAUAUCAGGAGGAACACCGGUGGCGAAGGCGGGUCUCUGGGCAGUAACUGACGCUGAGGAGCGAAAGCGUGGGGAGCGAACAGG
rnacentral:rRNA from 1 species